rnacentral:rRNA from 1 species
AACGAACGCUGGCGGCGCGCCUAAUACAUGCAAGUCGAGCGAGAAGACGUAGCAAUACGUUUGUAAAGCGGCGAACGGGUGAGGAAUACAUGGGUAACCUACCCUCGAGUGGGGAAUAACUAGCCGAAAGGUUAGCUAAUACCGCGUACGCUCCUUGGACUUCGGUUCAGGGAGGAAAGCGAUACCGUGGGUAUCGCGCUCUUGGAUGGGCUCAUGUCCUAUCAGCUUGUUGGNGAGGUAACGGCUCACCAAGGCUUCGACGGGUAGCUGGUCUGAGAGGACGAUCAGCCACACUGGCACUGCGACACGGGCCAGACUCCUACGGGAGGCAGCAGUAAGGAUAUUGCGCAAUGGGCGAAAGCCUGACGCAGCGACGCC